rnacentral:rRNA from 1 species
AGGUUAAGUUAACAAGGGCGCAUGGUGAAUGCCUUGGCACUAGGAGCCGAUGAAGGACGGGACUAACACCGAUAUGCUUCGGGGAGCUGUACGUAAGCUAUGAUCCGGAGAUUUCCGAAUGGGGCAACCCAGCAGUUUUAAUCAACUGUUACCACUAGAUGAAUUCAUAGUCUAGUUGGAGGUAAACGCUGUGAACUGAAACAUCUCAUUAGCAGCAGGAAUAUAAAGAAAUUUCGAUUCCCUAAGUAGCGGCGAGCGAACGGGGAACAGCCCAAACCAACGUGCUUGCACUUUGGGGUUGUAGGACUGAACAUUUGAGUUACCAAAGAACUUGAUAGUCGAAGGAUUUGGGAAAAUCCGCCAUAGAUGGUGAUAGCCCAGUAGAUUAAAUCAAAUUCUCUCAGUUCAGGAUCCUGAGUACGGCGGAACACGUGAAAUUCCGUCGGAAUCCGGGAGGACCAUCUCCCAAGGCUAAAUACUACCUAGUGACCGAUAGUGAACCAGUACCGUGAGGGAAAGGUGAAAAGCACCCCGGGAGGGGAGUGAAAUAGUUCCUGAAACCAUGUGCCUACAAUAAGUCAGAGCGCGUUAAUGCGUGAUGGCGUGCCUUUUGUAGAAUGAACCGGCGAGUUAUGAUCCCGUGCAAGGUUAAGACUAAAAAGUCGGAGCCGUAGCGAAAGCGAGUCUGAAAUGGGCGUUUUGAGUACGAGGUUAUAGACCCGAAACCAGGUGACCUAUCCAUGUCCAGGUUGAAGGUGCGGUAAAACGCACUGGAGGACCGAACCCGUGUAAGUUGAAAAUUGCUGGGAUGAGGUGUGGAUAGCGGUGAAAUUCCAAACGAACUUGGAGAUAGCUGGUUCUCUCCGAAAUAGCUUUAGGGCUAGCCUCGGAAUUAGGAUCAUGGAGGUAGAGCACUAUUUGGACUAGGGGCCCGUCUUGGGUUACUGAAUUCAGAUAAACUCCGAAUGCCAUUGAUUCAUAUCCGGGAGUCAGACGAUGAGUGAUAAGAUCCACCGUCGAAAGGGGAACAGCCCAGACCAUCAGUUAAGGUCCCUAAAUGUAUGCUAAGUGGAAAAGGAUGUGGAGUUGCAUAGACAACUAGGAUGUUGGCUCAGAAGCAGCCACCAUUUAAAGAGUGCGUAAUAGCUCACUAGUCGAGUGAUCCUGCGCCGAAAAUGUACCGGGGCUAAGCAUACUACCGAAACCAUGGAUGCGACCAUUAGGUCGCGUGAUAGGAGAGCGUUCUAAGGGCGGUGAAGCAAGAUCGUGAGGACUUGUGGAGCGCUUAGAAGUGAGAAUGCCGGUAUGAGUAGCGAAAGAUAGGUGAGAAUCCUAUCCACCGAAUGACUAAGGUUUCCUGGGGAAGGCUCGUCCUCCCAGGGUUAGUCGGGACCUAAGUCGAGGCCGAGAGGCGUAGACGAUGGAUAACAGGUUGAGAUUCCUGUACUAGUUAAGUGCGUUUGAGCAAUGGAGGGACGCAGGAGGCUAAGAUGUGCAUUCUGUUGGAUUAGAAUGUCCAAGCAGUAAGUCUUGUGAAGAGUCAAAUGCUUUUCACUUUAAGGACAAGCUGUGAUGGGGAGCGAAAUUUAGUAGCGAAGCGUCUGAUGUCACACUGCCGAGAAAAGCUUCUAGUGAGUACUUAACUACCCGUACCGCAAACCGACACAGGUAGUCGAGGAGAGAAUCCUAAGGUGAGCGAGUGAACUCUCGUUAAGGAACUCGGCAAAAUGACCCCGUAACUUCGGGAGAAGGGGUGCUGAUCGCAAGAUCAGCCGCAGUGAAUAGGCCCAGGCGACUGUUUAUCAAAAACACAGGUCUCUGCAAAAUCGUAAGAUGACGUAUAGGGGCUGACGCCUGCCCGGUGCUGGAAGGUUAAAAGGAUGGGUUAGCUUCGGCGAAGCUCAGAAUUGAAGCCCCAGUAAACGGCGGCCGUAACUAUAACGGUCCUAAGGUAGCGAAAUUCCUUGUCGGGUAAGUUCCGACCCGCACGAAAGGCGUAACGAUCUGGGCACUGUCUCAACGAGAGACUCGGUGAAAUUAUAUUGUCCGUGAAGAUGCGGACUACCCGCGACAGGACGGAAAGACCCCAUGGAGCUUUACUGUAGCUUGAUAUUGAGUGUUUGUACAGCUUGUACAGGAUAGGUAGGAGCCAUAGAAACCGGAACGCUAGUUUCGGUGGAGGCGUUGGUGGGAUACUACCCUCGCUGUAUGACCACUCUAACCCGCACCACUAAUCGUGGUGGGAGACAGUGUCAGGUGGGCAGUUUGACUGGGGCGGUCGCCUCCUAAAAAGUAACGGAGGCGCCCAAAGGUUCCCUCAGAAUGGUUGGAAAUCAUUCGCAGAGUGUAAAGGCACAAGGGAGCUUGACUGCGAGACAGACAGGUCGAGCAGGGACGAAAGUCGGGCUUAGUGAUCCGGUGGUACCGUAUGGAAGGGCCAUCGCUCAACGGAUAAAAGCUACCCUGGGGAUAACAGGCUUAUCUCCCCCAAGAGUCCACAUCGACGGGGAGGUUUGGCACCUCGAUGUCGGCUCAUCGCAUCCUGGGGCUGUAGUCGGUCCCAAGGGUUGGGCUGUUCGCCCAUUAAAGCGGUACGCGAGCUGGGUUCAGAACGUCGUGAGACAGUUCGGUCCCUAUCCGUCGCGGGCGUAGGAAAUUUGAGAGGACCUGUCCUUAGUACGAGAGGACCGGGAUGGACAUACCUCUGGUGUACCAGUUGUGCCGCCAGGCGCAUCGCUGGGUAGCUACGUAUGGAUGUGAUAAACGCUGAAAGCAUCUAAGUGUGAAACACACCUCGAGAUGAGAUUUCCCAUUCCUUUAUGGAAGUAAGACCCCUGAAAGAUGAUCAGGUAGAUAGGUUAGAAGUGGCAGUGCGGUGACGCAUGAAGCGGACUAAUACUAAUCGGUCGAGGACUUAACCAAG